GUGGAGGCCUUCAUGUGGACCUGGUCCCUAAAAGUUUUUGAGGUUUUAAUACCUGUCUUUGCCCUCUUUCACAGUAGAGGGGAACGAAUUAGAAUAGUUAUGGUGCUGGGCUCUGUGAUACUGAUUUAUAGUAAGUUUAUAGAACUACUGAAGUUUCUGUCAGGUAUGUUUGGCUCAUGGUUUCUUCGCCCGACCCUGCCUCCCAGUCCUAGUGGCACAUUUUGGGAGUUUAUUGGUAAUUGCACCCAGUUUGUUAGAGGAAGACCAGGGGAUGAGGCGUUUCAGCCUUUUCUUUCCUUCUUCUCCUUUGAAUCUGUUAUGUCCCUCUUUGAGAAUACCCAGUUUCCCCUGAAUGUUAAGGAUACCACUUUCCUGGUAGUACAGCUGGCUCAGCUGUUAAGCUUCCUCUAUAUAGUCUGUGGCUUCUAUAGGAUGAGGGCUGAGAUAUCCAGAAGAGCCAAUGAGACCCCUGCCCCAGAAGUAGACUCAGGUGUGGGAAAUCCUGAGUGGUGUAGAGAGUGGGAGAGAAUUGGCCGAACUCUGAAGGAAUUUUCUGAUCCCCCAGCCUGGGAAUUUUCACGUGAACAAAUUCAGAACCCAGAUGAAGUAGGGAAAUAUCUGGAAGAGAAUUGCUGUGAUGAUUCUAAAAAGAAAAAUAUCAUUGCAAUAAGCUGGGCCCUAGCGUAUGCUUAUCGCACGGUGCUAGAUACUGUAGGGCAGGCAGAUAAAUCAGCAGCUACCCCAGUGACUCAGGCUAAACCAGACAGUGAGCCUAAGCCAGCAGCCAAACCAGACAGUGAGCCUAAGCCAGUGUCUGUUGCUCCUGCCACGAGAGGCAUGAAAUUCAAAACCAAAACCGAUCGGCCAGUAGAUGAUGAUAAUGGUGAUGCGGGGGAAGGACCCUCAAGACCAGCAACUGACACAAAAUCAGAAAGCACUGGUGAACCUUUCUCCCUGAAGGACCUUCGUGGCCUGAGAAAAGAUUACACUCGACGACCUGAUGAAUCUAUAAUUAGUUGGUUAGUCCGUCUGUGGGAUGCUGCAGGAGAGGCUACAGUUCUGGAUGGCACUGAAGCGAGGCAUCUGGGAUCCCUGUCACACGAUCCGGUUAUUGACCAGGAGAUGAUGAGGGGGGCUGACCCUUAUAGUCUCUGGGAACGGGUCCUAAGAAGUGUGGCACAAAGAUAUCUGUGUGCAGACGAUCUCUAUAUACAGCAAACUCGUUGGAAAACCAUAGAACAAGGGAUUCAGCGCUUGAGAGAAAUGGCAAUAGUAGAGAUUGUCUUUGUGAGUGACUUAGGUACUAGAAAUCCAGACUUGGUGCCAUGCACAUCUGUGAUGUGGCGAAAACUUGUUCGACUUGGGCCACAAGAAUACGCUUCUGCUUUAGCAACAAUGAAGCGGGAUGACCGAGAAGAGACUGUGCUAGAUAUGGCGAAGAAGCUUCGAGCAUAUGCAGAUACCGUGCAUGGCCCCAUGCAGGCAACAAUUGCAGCUAUAGAAACACGUAUGCAAAACUUCCACGACAAAAUAGAGGAGACUCUCAAGAAACUCAGGGAAGACCUUCUUCCAGUCUCAGCAGUACAGACCAGGAGCCCUGGUACUCAACGCAGAAGUUCCCCAGAUAGAGAGAAAAAGCUACGAGCUGAGCUGUAGUUUUUCCUACGUGACUGUGGAGAAAACAUGAAAAGAUGGGAUGGUAAAUCUACUGCUGCUCUGGCAAAACGGAUGCUUGAACUGAAAGACAGCAAGACUCAGGGGGAAUACUCCACCAAAAAGAAAGCCGCUCCAGUAGCCUGUAG
ensembl:lncRNA